AUUGAACGCUGGCGGCAGGCCUAACACAUGCAAGUCGAACGAGUGGCGGACGGGUGAGUAAUGUCUGGGAAACUGCCCGAUGGAGGGGGAUAACUACUGGAAACGGUAGCUAAUACCGCAUACCAUCGGAUGUGCCCAGAUGGGAUUAGCUUGUAGGUGAGGUAACGGCUCACCUAGGCGACGAUCCCUAGCUGGUCUGAGAGGAUAACCAGCCACACGGGAACUAGGCAACGGUCCAGACUCCUACGGGAGGCAGCAGUGGGGAAUAUUGCACAAUGGGCGAAAGCCGGAUGCAGCAAUGCCGCGUGUAUGAAGAAGGCCUUGGGGUGGUAAAGUACUUUCAGCGGGGAGGCGUUACCCGCAGAAGAAGCACCGGCUAACUCCGUGCCAGCAGCCGCGGUAAUAC
rnacentral:rRNA from 1 species